UAGGAAGUGGUGUAAAGGCAGCACUAAGAGUUUUGAUCUCUUGGGUAUGGGUUCGACCCCCUUCUUCCUAA
rnacentral:tRNA from 1 species